GUGCUUGCUUCAGCAACACAUAUACUGAAGUUGGACCGACACGGAGAAGAUUAGCAUGGCUCCUGUGCAAGGAUGACAUGCAAAUUUGUGAAGCCUUCCAUAUUUUU